AACUAACUAGGAUUCCCUCAGUAGCUGCGAGCGAACAGGGAAGAGCCCAGCACCGAAUCCCGCGGCCGAUACCGGACGCCGGGAAAUGUGGUGUUAGGGAGGGUCCAUUAUCCCGAGAUCAUGCGGUGCGUCCAAGUCCUUCUUGAACGGGGCCACAGCCCAUAGAGGGUGCCAGGCCCGUAGUGACCGCUGCUGAUCGCGGGAGGAUCUCUCCUCAGAGUCGGGUUGCUUGAGAGUGCAGCCCUAAGUGGGUGGUAAACUCCAUCUAAGGCUAAAUAUGACCACGAGACCGAUAGCGAACAAGUACCGUGAGGGAAAGUUGAAAAGCACUUUGAAGAGAGAGUUCAAGAGUACGUGAAACCGUUUAGGGGUAAACCUGAGAAACCCGAAAGGUCGAAGGGAGAAAUUCAUUCGCGUUUCGCCGUUGGCGUGAGACGGUCGUGUGACGGGGAACGUUCGCGUUAACCGCACCUUCCGUUUUUCGAUCCGAUAGCGAACGUGUGCACUUUUCUCCUGGUAGGACGUCGCGAUCCGUUGGGUGUCGGUCUACGGCUCAUGGUGGAGCCCGUAUGUACGGCUUGCCGUUACGUGCGGACCCGUGUGUCCUGGCUGACUCGCUCGACGGUAUACGAAAGGUUUAAGGCCGCUCUUUGAGCGUUCGACUCGUAGCAAGCGCGUCAGAUGUGUUGGCGAUCGGACCUGGUGCCGGUUCUGACCUCUGGCGACUGUUGGCUGCGAUGUUCUCGAACAGACCUUUGACCGAUCUGCGACGCUAUAGCUUUGGGUACUUUCAGGACCCGU
rnacentral:rRNA from 1 species